UGGGGAAUAUUGGACAAUGGGGGCAACCCUGAUCCAGCAAUGCCGCGUGUGUGAAGAAGGUCUUCGGAUUGUAAAGCACUUUCGACGGGGACGAUGAUGACGGUACCCGUAGAAGAAGCCCCGGCUAACUUCGUGCCAGCAGCCGCGGUAAUACGAAGGGGGCUAGCGUUGCUCGGAAUGACUGGGCGUAAAGGGCGUGUAGGCGGUUUACACAGUCAGAUGUGAAAUCCCCGGGCUUAACCUGGGAGCUGCAUUUGAUACGUGUAGACUAGAGUGUGAGAGAGGGUUGUGGAAUUCCCAGUGUAGAGGUGAAAUUCGUAGAUAUUG
rnacentral:rRNA from 1 species